rnacentral:lncRNA from 10 species
CUGGGGCCUUCCAAUAACCACAUGAGUGAACUGAGAAGAAGACUCUCCCCAGUCAGCCUCCCCCACUUAGCCUGUGGGCAACCUCAUGAGAGACUUUGAAGCAGAAGCUCUUAGCUAUGCCUUGCUUGGAUUCCUGAGCCACAGAAACUCUGACAUGAUGAAUGCUCAUUGUUUUUAAGCCACUCAGUUCUGAGGUUAUUUGUUAUGCAGCAAAG